rnacentral:rRNA from 1 species
AGGACGAACGCUGGCGGCAUGCCUAACACAUGCAAGUCGAACGUGAUCCAGGCUUCGGCCUGGUGAAAGUGGCAGACGGGUGAGUAACGCGUGGGAACCUGCCCUGUGGUAGGGAAUAACCGUGGGAAACUGCGGCUAAUACCCUAUGAGUCCUUCGGGAGAAAGAUUUAUCGCCAUAGGAGGGGCCCGCGUCGGAUUAGGUAGUUGGUGGGGUAACGGCCUACCAAGCCUUCGAUCCGUAGCUGGUCUGAGAGGAUGAUCAGCCACACUGGGACUGAGAUACGGCCCAGACUCCUACGGGAGGCAGCAGUGGGGAAUAUUGGACAAUGGGGGCAACCCUGAUCCAGCAAUGCCGCGUGGAUGAUGAAGGCCUUGGGUUGUAAAGUCCUUUCGGCGGGAAGAUGAUGACGGUACCCGCAGAAGAACGCCCCGGCUAACUUCGUGCCAGCAGCCGC